GAUCUCCUGCUCAAUGGUGUCCAGGUUUUCUGGGGCCGAUGCUUGAGGUGGUGGGUCCACCACCUGUGCAGUUGAGUUCCACACCUGGGGCAGUUGGGGCACCAGCAGCAGCUGGUGGGUCCUUCACUUUACCUAAUUUUGUGACCAUGGGGAUGGAUGGUGAUGUCAACUCCCACUCAAGUGACCUCACGGCCUUGGACCUCUGAGAAACUUGUGUGUCUCGACAUAUUUGCACACCUUCUGGCAGAGUGGGCUUGCAAGAAAUGGAAGGCUCUAGUGAUAGUGGGAUUGAAAGCCACAGCACUGGAACUACCAUACCAAUUUCCAGAACUGACAGCGAUGAGCUUACCUCAUCUGAUUCUCUUCCUCCUCCACCACCUCCACCACUUCCUCCACCUAUUCCACCAGUUCCUCCUCCUCUUCCUCCUACACCACCCUCUCCUCUUCUUCAUGAUGAAGAUGUAAUGUAUAUAUUUAAUGAAUUCUAAUUAACUCUGUAAUGUGGUGACAGUUGUCAUUAAUAUUUUGUGAUGUUUCCUUUUCUGUAGUAUUUUGCUGAUGAUGAAGAGGACUGAAUAACUUGUUUAAUAAUAUGUUGUUUUUUCGAGUUUAAUAAAGUUUUUAUCAUUUUUUGUUAAAGUUUUAAUUAAAAAAGGUUUGAAC
ensembl:lncRNA